GACGAACGCUGGCGGCGUGCCUAAUACAUGCAAGUAGAACGCUGAAGAGAGGAGCUUGCUCUUCUUGGAUGAGUUGCGAACGGGUGAGUAACGCGUAGGUAACCUGCCUUGUAGCGGGGGAUAACUAUUGGAAACGAUAGCUAAUACCGCAUAACAAUGGAUGACACAUGUCAUUUAUUUGAAAGGGGCAAUUGCUCCACUACAAGAUGGACCUGCGUUGUAUUAGCUAGUAGGUGAGGUAAUGGCUCACCUAGGCGACGAUACAUAGCCGACCUGAGAGGGUGAUCGGCCACACUGGGACUGAGACACGGCCCAGACUCCUACGGGAUGCAGCAGUAGGGAAUCUUCGGCAAUGGGGGCAACCCUGACCGAGCAACGCCGCGUGAGUGAAGAAGGUUUUCGGAUCGUAAAGCUCUGUUGUAAGUCAAGAACGGGUGUGAGAGUGGAAAGUUCACACUGUGACGGUAGCUUACCAGAAAGGGACGGCUAACUACGUG
rnacentral:rRNA from 1 species